UUGCGUUUCGUAACCUUUGAACAUCGUUUUGAAAAGGCAUUUCCAUCACAUUUCCAUUCCAAGAAAUGAAUGUGGCGUCAUGCUGGAAAUUUGAAAGGAGAAAAAAAGGAAUCGUCGUUGUCAGUGCACUGCUAUUAGAUGUGUUUUUUCCCCACCCAUUAAAAUCAAAAGUGGAGCAUGCGUGAACGCUACCUGGUUUUGACGUGAUGCGAAAAUGAAGCGCAGAUCCGUAUAAGGGACUGUUUGGCCUUGAGCUUUUUGGCUGUUUGAAAGUCCUCUAUAAAUACACUUGAGUUGAGUUGAGCUUGAGUCAUUAGCGUUAUUUUACUUCAUCAAAACCAGCUGUAAAGGAGACCAAUUUUUCAGAGGGAAAUUUCAUGUUUUGGUCUUUUUGAGGAGAGGGUUUUUGUUUGAUUUUCAAGGAACUUAUGAAAGCCCUGAUUCAUUUUUAUGUGAGCAGUUAUGAUUUUUUUUUAAUGUUUCGGAAAGGGAAGUGAAAUGUAUUUUCAUUUCAAAGAAAUCUCAAUUCUUUUUUGUAGAAAUGUGUAAAAUGUUUUUUAUAACAGAUGAUUUUUUUUUGAGUGACAAAAUUGAAUAUUUUUGUCUUCAAGGAAUGGACGGAUGAUUAUAAAUGUUACUUUUUCUGAAAACGCAA